GACAGAGGUGCCGAGCGUUAGGCGGAAUCACUGGGCUUAAAGCGUGUGUAGGCGGAUCUGUAAGUACCUUGCGAAAUCCCACGGCUCAACCGUGGAACUGCUUGGUAUACUGCGGGUCUUGAGCCACCUAGGGGCAAGUGGAACAAACGGUGGAGCGGUGAAAUGCGUAGAUAUCGUUUGGAACGCCAAUGGUGGAAACAACUUGCUGGGGGUGUGCUGACGCUGAGACACGAAAGCCAGGGGAGCAAACGGG
rnacentral:rRNA from 1 species